AGCGAACGCUGGCGGCAGGCUUAACACAUGCAAGUCGAGCGGGCACUUCGGUGUCAGCGGCAGACGGGUGAGUAACACGUGGGAACGUACCCUUCGGUUCGGAAUAACGCUGGGAAACUAGCGCUAAUACCGGAUACGCCCUUUUGGGGAAAGGUUUACUGCCGAAGGAUCGGCCCACGUCUGAUUAGCUAGUUGGUGGGGUAAUGGCCUACCAAGGCGACGAUCAGUAGCUGGUCUGAGAGGAUGAUCAGCCACACUGGGACUGAGACACGGCCCAGACUCCUACGGGAGGCAGCAGUGGGGAAUAUUGGACAAUGGGCGCAAGCCUGAUCCAGCCAUGCCGCGUGAGUGAUGAAGGCCUUAGGGUUGUAAAGCUCUCUUGUCCGGGACGAUAAUGACGGUACCGGAAGAAUAAGCCCCGGCUAACUUCGUG
rnacentral:rRNA from 1 species